rnacentral:rRNA from 1 species
GACGAACGCUGGCGGCGCGCCUAACACAUGCAAGUCGAACGGAGUCAAGAGGAGCUUGCUUUUCUUGACUUAGUGGCGAACGGGUGAGUAACGCGUGAGUAACCUGCCCUGGAGUGGGGGACAACAGUUGGAAACGACUGCUAAUACCGCAUAAGCCCACGGAUCUGCAUGGAUCUGCGGGAAACGGAUUUAUUCGCUCUCGGAUGGACUCACGUCCAAUUAGCGAGUUGGUGAGGUAACGGCCCACCAAGGCGACGAUUGGUAGCCGGACUGGGGGGUAGGCCCGCCCAUUGGGGACAGGCACCAGGCCCAAAUCCCCCGGGAGGGGAGGAGGGGGGGUUUUGCAACAUGGGGGGAAACCCGAAGGCCGCGGCGCCGCGUGGAGGAAGAAGUUUUUCGGAUUGAAAACUCCUGUCGUUAGGGACGAUAAGACCGGUACCAAACAAAAAAGCACCGCCAAACUAGGG